rnacentral:RNase_P_RNA from 1 species
GGAGUCGGCUGGACAGUCGCUGCCCCGGUUGCGGGGUGGAGGAAAGUCCGGGCUCCACAGGGCAGGGUGCCAGGUAACCCCUGGGGGGCGCGAGCCCACGGAAAGUGCCACAGAAAACAGACCGCCGAUGGCCGGCGUCCGCCGGCACAGGCAAGGGUGAAAAGGUGCGGUAAGAGCGCACCGCGCGGGUGGCAACACGCCGCGGCACGGUAAACCCCACCCGGAGCAAGACCAAAUAGGGGAGCAACGGUGUGGCCCGCAUCGCUCCCGGGUAGGUCGCAAGAGGCGGACGGUGACGUCCGUCCCAGAUGAAUGGCUGUCCCCGACAGAACCCGGCUUACAGGCCGGCUCCCGUC